UGCGGAAUUGCUCAUUGAGACUUGAGAGCUCAUAACGAUGCUGCGCAAUGCCCGGUUCCAGCUUCUCACUUCACUGAGGCCACAGUUCGAUCUGAGAUACGCAGAGCAUAUUUGUCCGUCGGCCGUAGACCCCAAAAGAAGAUGUUUUGUUAGGCUUUUUAGUACUCGUCUGAGCGGAGCUUGGAGGGAAGUGAUCGGAAUAGAUUUCGGAACUACCAACUGCCGUGUGGCUGUCAUGGAGAAGGAUGUAA